rnacentral:rRNA from 1 species
UGAAAAAUUUUUAAAUAGCUGCAAUUUUUGUACUAAGGUAGCAUAAUCAUUUGUUUUUUAAUUUUAAACUAGAAUGAAAGGUAAAACAAAUUAUUUCUUUAUUAUUUAUUUUUUUAUAACUUAUAUUAAAUAUAAAAAUAUAUUUUUUUAAAAAAAAGACGACAAGACCCUAUUGAACUUUACUUUAGUUUAGCUGGGGAAGCUAAAUAACAAAUAUUUUAUUAUAAUUUUAUAAAUGACCCAAAAUAUUUGAAUAAAUAAUCAAGUUACCAUAGGGAUAACAGCGCAAUAAAUUUUUAAAGUUCUUAUUUUAAAAUUUGCUUACGACCUCGAUGUUGAAUUAAAAAUCUUUACUAAGCAAAAAUAUUAAAAGUAGGUCUGUUCGACCUUUAAAAUUCUACAUGAUCU